GUACACAAAGGAAUCUAGUUCCACUUUUUGUAUUUUUUGUAUUCAGUCUACAUCUCUGUCUAUGAUCUUUGGAAGUACCAUUUUGCUUCACCUGUAGUGUAUUCUUGCAUUUGCUUCCUAAGUAUCAACUGAAUGCAAUGUCUGAGUCAUUUCUGAAAUUACCUUUGCUGUCGGUGAUGCCCUGGCAUCUUUGUCUCUCAUCCAAAACUUUGCUCUUCGGUCUGUAACGUGCUACAGCUGCCGCUGCCAGGAGGCCUGGGGACUGCACUGAAUUACAGUCAUUUCUCCAUGGAGGCAACAGUCUUCACGGUAGAAGUCCUGCAUGCUUUGAAGAGCAGCAGGCAUGUUUUAAACUGGUGCUGCAAUUCCUACAAGACGAGGCAUGAGUGAAUAUAAGGUUCAGACAGAAGACACGCUCAUCCUCACUGAUCCAGUUUCAGGCUAAUUGCUCUUCUGUUCGUGUGUGUUGAAAAGAGAGCAUGAUGCAAGAAGAGAUGGCUGAAGUGAGCUACACAUCACAGCAAUGAGGUUGAAGAACCCAAAAUGAAACCUGUUUCCCAGCUCUGAUGUCCUCAUUAUUGAUGGAAGAUGAUUGUGCAUAAAGAACAAAGGAAAGUUGCAAGUACAAUAACCUACAGAUGACAGUCAGGAAGGAUUUGCAGAUACACUGAUGUUAAGGAGCUGACUGAGAUACCGAAGAAUGAUGAGAUACGGCAGCGCAGGAUCAAAAGGAGAGGAAGACAGGUCUCUGUGCAGUAUGGGAAUGACAGCACAGGAAGAAAAAUAUUACAGGCCCUACCACCCCAAUUCUCUCAUUAACUGCAUAAGGGAGGACAGCACAGAAUAAAACGUUCCUUGUCCCACCCAGCCACUGCUGAAACAGUGGGUGUUCCUGGUGAGCAUCGGGAGAAAAACAGCAAAUGCCAGCGAGAGACAGACACUGUGACAUCUCCCUUGGCAUGGAAAUACAAAACGGUGGGAAGCUUCCUGUGCUAUCAGUGUGAUCGCUGCAAGUUCUCCUUGCCGUAAUGCAGGAGGGGAUAAAUCUUGUUUCACUGAAGUGGAAAGCAGCGCAGCUCAGCUGAAAUUAUCUGCAAAAACAUAAGAAUGAAAAGACCCCUGCCCUCAUCCUCCAGUAAUGCUGCGUUUCUAAAUUGGAAAUGAAAGGCACAGGUGGAGAGUCAACUGCCUGCUUGUCAUAAGGCUAAAUAUUUCUUCACUCAAGUUGUAAUAAAUCCUGGAGUACUGUCUGCUCGCACAGGAGGAUUUCAGCACAGAAGCAUGCUGCAGAAAGAUCUUCCGGGGAAAAUGUAUUUUUGAGUACUCCAGACAAUUGAAACUAGCGAGCCCACUGUCUGGAGAAAGCAUCUGUAACCGCAGCCAAAAGAGGAACAAGAUUUCCGACAUUGUUUCAAGACAUGUGUUUGAAGCAUGGGUUCCCAUCACUUUCGGAGAAGAGCUUCAGCUAGGACUGGUGUGGAUUGAGAGCCAGGAAUCCUUUCUGCCUGAGUCCUGGACUGCUGAAAAACAGCUACACCAACACCCUCACACAGGCGUACUUCUUCACAUUUAUCCUAGGUCAUCACACCUCACGGGAGGCUUCCCUGCUUUUAAUGAGCAACUCAGAAACCACAGAGAGGACUGGAGAAUGGAAGUCAUUGGACGUUCUCAUGUUUGAAAACAGCUCCAUAGCAUUCACAAGAGGAUUCUUGGCACCUGCCUAGUUCAACUGGAUGUCCAAUGUUAUCUCCCCAGGCAAGUAAAAUUCUGGCAAUCACUGUAGUCCUAUUUCACUUAUUCUCAGUCUUUUUGACACAAACACAUUAAUUCUCUCAAGCUACUUUGGCAGCUGUAAGAAGUUCUCUCCUUUUUUUUAAUAUGAUUGAUAAUAUUGAAUAUUUCUUUUAACCUUUUACUGCAAUUGCUGGGCUAGGUGGUAGUUUCUCUGUUUGGAUGUUAAUCUCCAGCAUGCAGUAGCAAGUCUUCCAAUCGCCUACUCAUUCUGGAGCUCAUUUGUAAUAUGUUGCCAUUUAAUUUACAACUGCCUAUCAACCUCCACCUAGCACUAUCCCUACAACAUAUAAUGUCAUUCUUCCAACACUUCCACUGUCAAAGGUCAUAUAAAACAAAACAUUGCUUAAUACAGAAACUCCUUCUAGUUUAGCACAAAAAGAAUGGCAGCCCUUGGGCAAAAUUUGACUCCAUCAUUUCAUAUGAUGUGCUGGUUCCCUGAUUCAGUGCAGGACAUGUCUUGAAAUGUACAGGCAAAAAAUGUCAUCAUUGUCUUAAUUUCCAAUUUCUCAGAGGAAAAAAAAAAAGUUUCUUCGAGGAGACACAGAUAUAAAAACAAAGAGACCUCCCAGGCUGACUUGAAAUAUGUUCGAACUACACAUCCAUUCUCUGCUCCCUAGAACCCAGUAAAUAUUUCUUUGGCCCCACAAAAUAUUUUAGUUUGAACCCAGGAAACCUCAGAUUGACCUUGGAAAUAAGAUUCCUGAUUUUCAAAGUAAAUUUCUCAGCCACACCACUGGAGGAGUUACACUUUUCUGACUGAAACGUAUAAAACUUGUCUCUUUUGGCAAAUGGAGUAGAUUAUACUGUGGGAAGCUGGUUGUUUUCCCAAUUAACUGACCAUAGGCACGCUCAAAAUCUUUUUCUCAACUUUUAUAACCCAAUACAAUGCUGGUGGCAAGGUUAAAAUACCUUUUUUAGGCCAUUAGGGGCAAGGUUAAGCCACUGUAAAGUAGCAGAGUCUGUCUCAGUGGAUAUACACUGGCCUAUCCUGCUGAGCAUCUGGUGCAUGUCUCUACAGAGAUUUUGUUCUGUCUUCUCAUCAGGUUGUAUUGGAUGCUUUAGCAGCAUUUGAUCCUACAGUGUCCUUUUAGCUUACCUUGAAUCCCCUUUGAGAUUUUAGAUUACAUGUGUCUGGAUUUGAUUAGCUUUGUCAGUUUGUUUGCUUCUGAUGUUUUUCUCCUCUGCCAGCUUUUUUAACUCUUCUCUCACCCAAGACAAGAUCUCAUGCCCUGAUGCAACAUAAGGAAAACAUUCUUUCAAAAAAGUCUGUGGCGUUAUUUUCUGACGGUAUUCAGCUCAUAUUUAGGAAAAAAAUUCCUGGACCUGGUUAUCAGUUACCUGUAUGAGCGUGUAAGAUCAUGUUCCUCAUGGGAUAUAAGGACAAGAGAGGUCUCAAAUUAUUCUUAUAAUGUUGGUUGGCGUCAUAGCUGCUUCCAAGACGUCAGACGUAACUGCCUUUUAUACAACAGUCUUAUUCAAACCAGAUAAAAAAAAAUUAAGAUGGAUACUCUGAUUGGCAUCUGUCAUAUUAAUUGAAUUAAACUGCUGUAAUUCUAACAAACAAACAAAAAACCCCACCAAACUUGGUGCCAGGUGUUAAGGUGAGGUUUUUUCUCAGUGAGCCUCUUAGGUUUUGCUUCAGCUUGGGUUUCUCACUUCAGCCAACCAGAAGCACUGCAAUGCUAUCAGCUAGUGUUUCACUGAGGCUUCUGGUCCAGGGCAUCAGUGCAGAUAUCCAGCUGCCCAAGAUGUGGUCCUUGCACCCCCCCCAUGUCCUGCUGAAGUCAUUGACUCCUGUGUGCACUCAAGGUUUCACAAGGCUGCAGGUGGCAGCCACGUGGUGCAGGUUUAAGAGCUUCGUGGGGCUCAGGUAAUAUUCAUAUAUCUGAAAAGGACGACGCUGUCAAAACAGAAUGAACCUUUGAACUUUGUUAGGUUUUGAUAUGACCUUAAGCCUCAGAUUUAUAAAAACAAAGCAGAACAAACCCCACUGCUUGCUUGCUUUCAUUCUCUUUUCUGAUUUUGCACUAAAUUGUCAGCAAAGCAGACCUUUUACCUAUAAACAGAUGGUACACAAUUCUGUGGGAUUUUCCCACAUUUGAUGAACACACAUCAAGUUUAUUUACAUGAGUAUGGAAAAUAUUAAAAUGACUACCAGGUCUGUUCAGCGUAACACACCUGGAGCACAUUGCUGCCAGCAAGCUUCCAAGGUGGGGAGAUUCUGGCACACAGUUACAGUUCUGGGGAUUGGACCAUUUUUGACUUGGGUUAUUGCAUCUUUUGACACCUGAAGACAUAUUCACCUCUGACCUGGGAACAUCUGCACCAUCAAACUAUAAAAAGGGGAAUUGAAAUGUAGCCUUUUUUUUUUUUCCGCUUACUGUUAUUUUUAUUUUCUAUUGAAAGGGGUUUUAAAAGGCCUAUGAAAUGUAAAAUUGCUUUUUUGUCGUAGUUGCAAAACUCAUUUCACUUUUUUAUCUGAGAUGCACUUGUAGCAGAUUUCCAGAGUUAAAAAGGAGUACAGUAAUCCACAAUCCAAAGCACUGAGCGCAGCAUCUCUCAGUGCCUGGGGCAAAGGCCCAGUGGACUACCUUGUCCUUGCCCUCAUCACUCACCCAGACUUUUCCUCACCAAUUUGUUACCCACAAUAUUCUUAGAUAUUCUGACCUUCCUUCCUAAAGUAACAUUGACUUUUUUUUAACUAACUUUUUUUCCUUUCUUUACAAGCAGAAUUUUAUAAAUCCUUGGGGUGUUACUGCUGCUUCUCUGACAUGGCCAUCGUUAGAAUACCAGCCCUACUGGCGACUACGCAGGUGACACCUCUGGGAUAUCCUGAAAUGGCAAGAUCCAUGGGCAAACAGGACCUCAGAGCACUGAGGUACCUCCAAGCAGCUUGGCCCCGGUCCUUCGCCCUGCAGCUCCACCACCAAGGACUUACCUGCCUACACAGAGACUGGGUUGGCACUCUGAGGUCAGUCUCUACUGUGGAAGGAGUGCUGUGUGGGCUACAGAGAGCAGUAUCUCACCUGUGUCCUUUCUUUCCUGCUUAGUGAGCCAAUGCCUCAGUUCAUGCAGCACGCUCUUUGCAUUUUGGAAUAAAAAAGCCCUUCAAGGAAGGGAACUGCUCUCUCUCCUACCCUAGAAAAGAGUGCAUAUCCCACACAGAAAGGGUUCAUACAGCAGUCAGAAAGAGACAUAUAAGUUUAGAAACACUUGACAGGUCUGUGCUGCCUGACAGAUAGCCAGAUCAAUGCGGUCGUGUGCCUGAGCUACAGAGCCUGGGCUGUCACCUGGAUGUUCCCAAAGCCUGGGGCCUAACAAAAGCUGGGGUUAGGUGAGGUUUUGUGACAAGUAUUUACUGAAAACCUUGUAAGCAACUAGAAUACAGUUAGUCAUAAAAUGAAAGUAUUUAAAUUAUUUUCAAAUUCUGUUUAUUAUUUUUUAUUUUAUAGCAUGCAUAUUUCCAAGCACUGAAAUUACUAUAAUCCUGGCAAUGUAUGUCAAUGCUUCAAGCAUAGAACAGUGCAUUCUCUGUAGUGAUACAUAGCUCCUUUAAGCAGAUACACUGCCAGAUAUACUUAUGUAUAAUUCGUCCAGAUUAAAUUCUGGCUGUUUCUAGACAUUCCAGUUAUCACUUUGAUUGAUUUUUUGAGAAUGGCAGUAAGAAAGCAGAAUAAGAAACACAAAGCGAAUUCUCCAGUUGACUUCUGAAAGGAGAGUCAAUCCCACAAGAACUUUCUGCAGUGUGUAGUUUACAACUAUUGCAAAAAUAAGUGUGGGCCAUCACAAAGGAUGGGUGCAUAUUACCUGGAACAGCUUUUGUCUCUGGUUAUUUAGUAUUUGUGUUUUCUUUUAGUAACCCCGUUGGAAACCCAAGAUUACCUGUGAGCAACACAAUUAAACAGGUGGUUUAAGAACUGUACUCCUAAAUUGCCAGAGCUGUUUUACAGUGAGUCCUUUCCCAGUCACGUGAGUUCCAGCAAACAAAUUCCUGCAGGCUUUCCUGAAUACGGCAACCAGCACCAGCCACGGGAUUUUGUUGCUCCAGGCAAAACAUCAAAUGUAGGCCCCUCACAAGGCACCAUCAUGAGCGCAGGCAAGUGUUACAAAACAUUUUGCAGCCCUAGGCGGCUGCUGCUCUGCGUGGCUGGUGGCGGCAGUGCUGGCUCUGCAUGUCAAUUUGCCUAUCUCUCACCCAUUAGGCUCCCGUCCAUCUCCCUUUCUACCUUUGCACUGAGCUUACCUAAUUGGUUCUGCUCAGUGUGACUCCCAUCGCUGAACGCGGUCAGGUCCUGUCCUACCUUAGAGUGAUCCAUUACAAAUGGGGCAAAGGAGCAGCAAGUCUGGCAGCCCUCGGGGAGCAGCGCUGGGUGAAAUCGAAAUUUGCUAUUAGAAAUUUCUAGGAGUGAAACAAAGAGUGAAUGGCAUAGCCUGAACAGGGUGAGUGCAGUAAUGUUAUUGUAUUGUGAGAUUACAUGUACAGUGUCAUAGAGGACAGUGCUGAAGGAGAAGGAGGGAAUGAGCCAUAUUUAUCCUUUGUUUAAUUCCAUUUAAUUCAGUCCGUUUAUAAUGCAUUUGGCUCCAUUUCCUUUGAAAAUGUUAUUCUUAAAUAUGAUAGCUUUGUUUGUGCUCUCGUGCAGCAUAAAAAUGGAAGCUGUUUACACUGCAAAAGAAACCAGGGUAAGUAAACUUCAGCGAUAGGGCAAGUGAGUUCUAGCCCCAUAAUAUAUGGGAGUGCAGAGGUAUGUAACUGUAAGAGACAUCCUACUAAGAGGUAUAUUAUUUACAUGCUAGUAAUUGUCACUGGUGACUUCUCUAGACCUUUUUUUCUAUGGAGCAGUUGUUUACACUCAUCUGAAGUUAGUAAUGGGCCUGAUCUGGCACACUCACACAAAUACAGCUCCUCUCAGAAAUCAGUUUGUAUAGACUGGGGGCUUAGGCGCAUAUUUUAUUUGCAAACAGCUGGAACAGCUUAAGAACUUACCAUACCACGCACUGUUGCCCCAUGCAGAUUUCCAUCCCUUGCUGGCGGAGUAUGUCAUGCAAACAUUUUUGCUAGCUCUAGAGCAAUGCAGACUGGGAAUACUCACCCACUGAUUGCCUGGUGACAGCUGGGGGACAGCAUCGUCCCAGUGUGGGGCAGUGGCAGAUGGUGGGGGGAAAUGACUUAACUGAUCAUCCCAAAUAGCCCCUGCCAGAAAUGUGCUCAUGGAAUCAUCUAGGGUGGAACGGACCUUCGUGAUCAUCAAGUUCUGGACUGAAACACUCCCUGUGCUGCCCCAUCAGUGCUCUGCUUCCUGCGCUAGGCUGGAUCUCACCUGUCACCUGUUUAGGAUUGGGUGCUUGCCUUGCAAAUUUCUGAGGACAAGUGGCUUUCCAUGGACUCAGAAAUGAGUAUAUGAUCCCUCCUGCAGCUUUACAUAUGGAUGUAGAAUAAGCACUGGUGUUUGGCUUUCUUCAGUGUACUGUAUCUCCUUGUAUUCAGGCAUGACUCUCCCCUUUUUUGCUCUGUUGCAGUAUGCGUAUGACAUAAUGUUGGUAGAAUUGCUGAACCAGUACAGACUAGUUGUCUUUGCACAUAUGCUUUUGCACCAAUUGCUUUUAAGAUGAUCUAAAACCAACUGAAGCUUUAAAAUCUUUUUGGACAGAACUUCUGGGUGCCAGCAGACAGGAGCAAGCUCAGAUUAGCUUCAUGACGGAGUAGUCAGCUAGACUUCAGAAGGCUGCAUUACUGCAUGCAAAUAAAUGUGAAUCCCCUUCUGAGAUGGAAUUGGAAGCUCUGUGAAGGACCGUAACAUGGAGUAUGUAACUCAGAGUGAGAUUCAAGAAACGGUUUGUACAGCCACGCCAACAGCCCGAGCUUACCAUGAAAGGUAUGUGAAGGACAGAAAUAAUUUCUCUGAACCCAAAUCAGGUUUCUGGAUUUGUGAAGAAGGGUCUUUGGGGCAUCUCUUCUAGCGGAUUGCUUUUCUGAUUCUAGUGACUUGAGCUUUGCUUAGGGAUGGUGAGCGCGAGUUCCAUCCUCUAGAUGUAACUCUGUGAUCUCAGCUUUAUGGAGCAGUGCUUAUCACAGCUCGCUCUGCAUUGCUGAUGCACUGUGCUGAUGGCUCAGUACGAGCUGCCCCGCAGCUCCAUUCUUGGCUCUUCCCCCCUCUUUCCAGCUGGAGAUUUAAUUUCACUAACGAGAAAGUCCUGGAUCUACUUUUUGAGGUAGGCAAUGGCUGUUGUUGCCACCUGAACAUUAAAUGAUCACUAAUGGCAAGAAAAGAAAACUGCAGCAAUGUGGCUGGGAGAUCAGAUUGCUCCCUGAGGAAAGGGGCUCCCCAUAAUAUCUAGAUAAUGUGUGCAGGUCUGGGUGAACAUAUUUACACUCAGGGAGGUUUUACACAUUGCCAUUGCAGAGCAGUUCUAUUAACAGACCGCCGAAAGCGGGUGCAAAAGGCGGAUUGUGAGGACUCUGCUUAGUUCAGGCAUGGAAAGCAGCACGUUAUUCACAAGCAUUUACUUUAUUGCAGCCAGCGGCUGCCAAGCCAGCUUCUUGCAUUGAUGCAGGGAGUAUGACAAUUUUCACGUUGUAAACACUACGCAUUAAUCAGGGCACCUCGAUAUUAUGCAAACAAAAUGCAUGUACUUACAAAUACUUCCACUGUAUUUGAAUCAAAAAUAACACCGUGAAAAUGAAUGGAGUUGUCAGGCUCGUUUCAUCUGUCGAGAAAUUUGGGUCUGUGCAGGCAGCAGUUCCCCUGAGGUCUGAGACAUAUUUAUCCUGUAAUCACCGCAGAUUCCCCAAAUUAAAAUGAAACUUUAAAAUGUAAAUAAAAAUGCACACUUGGUAAAUCUAAUUUGACAGCAGAAAUCUGUUAGUGACAACAACAGGUCUUCCUUUAUCAGAUGAUUACCUUGUAGAAAAUCAUCUGUACGCUACUAGACAAUUGCCAUAUGAAAUGUUGGCCUUGCAUUUAUAUUGUGACAAACUGCAGAACUUCUUGCAUAAUUUUGUUUCAAAGGUAAGUAAAUCCUACGGGAACUUUUUUGAAGAGCGGGUUUUUUUUCCUAAAAUAUCCUGGAAGAUACUUCCCUCAGUCCUAUUCCUUCAUUUGCUUUUAAAUGGCUCCCACCUCCACACUCUACGCUGUUUUAGAUAGUGGUUUGAUUGAAGAAAUGAUGGCUGUGAUGAUUUUAAGUUCCGCACUAGGACUCCUGUGAGUAUACCCAGGUGCAGAGCAACUGUGCCUGUGAAGUUUUCCUACCGUAUAAAUGCACUUUUCCUGAAGCAAGAUGUUAGGAGGAAAUCCUGACUGAUAGCCAGCUAUAUCUCACCAUCUGAUAUCAGAUGUAUUUGUCAUGACUUUUCUAUUGACAUGGGUGUAUUUCUGUGUCUUAUAUAUUUUUUUUCACUGUUCUACCCAGAAUUGUUUCUGUGAUGGGAGACCCCACAAUGUGCCUGUGGGAGAAAUCUUUGCAGCCCACAAUGGUUUUUAAACAUUUCUAUCUAAGGCUGAAGAAAUCCCUGUCACCUCACUUCUAAACGUCUGUUUUUCCAGGGGAGGUGCAUUAUUCCCUUAUGUGGCAGGGAGACACUAGGAUAGAAAAAAAAAUUAAACUGGGAUCUAAAGGAAUGUGGCUUGAAAAAACAAAGUUCCUCCGUGCGAUCAAAUCAAAUUCUUCAUUUUUCCUCCUGCAUAGAGCUAAUAGACUCGUUCCAUCUGCCCUUGGUGACCACCGUGUAACAAAUCAGUGGGGAAAAUUUCGGGCCAAAGCAGCCUACCUGGGAUACCCGCUGAUUUUGUCAUUAGUCUAAGAAAAGGUACACAAAGGUUAGUGUGAUGCCUUGGGAUCGAUAACAGCACUGGAACCCAGGAAUUUUUCGAGUGUAUGGUACUUAAUUAGAACAAAGCAAGCCUAUUUCUAACAUGGGGACCAAGACAUUCCGCUACCAAAAAAAAAACAAACAAAAAAAGAUAUCAAAAGGGAAAUAAUGACAGGCGUUAGGAUGUGAGAGUAUUCCUAACUACUAGCACUCUCUAGGUCCUCUGCGCAGUCACGUAAAACGCCGUGGAAGCCUUGUGCAGUGCAGCGCGCUCAUCUUUCCGUAGGUCUUUCCUGCCCCGCGGGCUGGACAAACAGAGCCGCUGCCUGCAGCCGGAGCGGGAUGCUGCUGGCACCGGAACGCGGCCAUCCAGGUACUGCCCUCGGUUUGCAGCCAUCCUGCCCGAGUGUGAGGACUUUCCACCCAGCUUGUUUGCCUCGUGAUUUAUGUCUGAAUUGACAGAGUCCUUCGGAGGCAUUCGUGUUAAAUUUGAAACAAACAUAUUUAAUGCUUCUGUUGUAAUAAAACAGCUAAAAGAGAAGAUUAAAAAGAUAUGCACAGAGGGCUCCGAUUGAUUGAGGGAUUGAUUUUACUACUUUUCCCGUAGGUGGGUAGUGAUGGCUGUAAAUCUCUCGAUAAUCAUUUCAGAAGCACCUUCAUCAAUAAACUCGGAAGGGACAGCGAGGUGUAAAAAUGUGCCGGCCAUCGGGUCAGACAAAGGCAGCAAACGUGCAAAGAAAGAACGGAAUUAAACAAUCCCACCUUGGCCGCUUAUGGCAUUAGUCACGUCCGCUUUUAUCUCGGGGGCGGGGGAGUUCCCCAUCGCUGGAUUCUAUGAGAUUUGGGGCAGAGAGAGGGGGAGGCUCUUUCCCUCCUUUUUUUUUUUCUUUUUCUUUUUCUUUCCUUUUUCCCCUUUAGUUCAACCCGUACUGCUUACGAUUCCAUUAUGCGGCUAAAAGCUCGUGUUUGUGAGCAAUGAUCAAUUAUUAGUUGUCACUAAUAAUGGAGAAGGAUUCCAUGCUGGCUCUCCCCCUCUCCUCCUAUUUCUUUUUCCCUGAGGAGUUAUCAUUAAGAAAUAAUAAUAAUACCAAGGUGAGAGGGGGGCAGCGGCGGGCAGGGGCCGAGCCGCCGUUCCCUCGCCGGGCAGCGCCGAGCCGCGGUGCCGCAAUGCUGCCCGGGCAGCGCCCCGGGACGGCCUCAAACUUCGUGGUGCGUCGGAGCACGGAGUUCCCGGCUGAGGGCAGCAUCUGGAAGCCCCUAAUUACACACGCUGCUGAAAUAGAUGUAACCCGGUGUAGCUGAAAAGCGGCUUGCUUUAGGGGUCAACUGCAGCGACGUUUGAAGCCUUUAUGCAGUGUAUUUUUUUUUUUUUUAGUUUAAAAAGAGAACGGAGAGAACGGAGAGGAGGAAAAAAAAGGCAAAGAAGGGAAGAAAGGGACAAGUCCUGCUGCGGAGGAGCAGGUAUCUCGCAGCACGGAGCGGGGCCGGGCAGCUGUGUGCCCGGCGGUGCCGCAGCGGCGCUGCCCCGGGCUGCGGGCGGAGGUGUGCGGCAAAGGGAGAGCGGUGGCACUGCCCCGGCUCGGUGUGAGCGUGUGUCACAGCUGUGUGCGGACUGCGGAGCUUUUAACCCCUGAGUGCUGAGGGUGUCGGGGCUGAGCGCAAACCUUAAUAACAAUAAUCCAGGCUGGUGCGUUGCGUCUCAUUGAAAGCGUCUCUCGGCAGAAUGAACUGCAAAUUAUCCCCUGUUUG